CCAGAACGGGGCUUGCUGGGCGGGGCUGUGACAGGGGCAUCACACUUGGCGUCUGACGUCACCCGCGAUCCGAAGUGAAGACAAAGCGGAGUUCCUCAUAGUCUGUGCCGGCGCUGCCUGCCUGCCGUGUCACCAGUGCGCAGUACUGCCUGCUGAGGGCUGGGGACUGACAGUGACUGUGGAGAGCAGCUGGGAGGAGCCUAAAGCAGUGAGAUUGUGACGGCAGACAUAGUGACUACGCCAUAAGGACCUGCGGAGAAACUUCCCGGUUUUUGCCUUGGAGCCCAGCAGUGCGGGUAAUCCGGAUAGCACUCUGCUUUUAUACCACCAGUGGCUCCAACCUCACUGACCGGGGGAACAUUACCGACGCGUUUCAUGUUAUUCGUCUAGUGACAGCAGAGAUGGUGGGGAAUGAGCCAGACACUGAUGGAUAGAAAGGCGUCCUAAUCACCACAGCCAGCAUCGCUGCCUAUGACGCACCGGUCAGGUGUUUACUGGAAUAUUUUAUGUAUUGUGUAAUCCGUAUGUAUUAUUUACACUGUGUUUAGGAUACAUUCCCCGUGCAGUAAUUGAGGGUCUGAGUCACAUGUAAAGGGGGAGCAAUUCCAGCAAUCAGUGAUCCAUGCAAAUAUCCACCUUAUUCAGAGACCACUAUACGUCUGUAACCUUAUGUAACCUUACUCGCCCCCAGCCCCCCGCUUGUGACAGCAGCCAUCAGCACCGGCCCUUUUCAGUAAGUGUGUCAGACACAUCCCCUGUAACCUGAGUAUGAUAUAACCCAUUCAUUAUUACCAUACACAGCGCCGGAGAUAUUCUGCAUAUCCAGAUCUCUAGUCUGGGGUGUUGUUAGGAGACCCCCAUUCUCUUCAGGCUGCCAUUUAAGGUACCUAUUGGUGCAAUCCAUAAUCUGUAUUCCCCCUUAUCCCCCCACAUUCAGUCCCUCGCCCAAUCCUGCUGCUUCCACCUGCGUAUUAUCUACAGUAUCAGCUCAUUUCUUACAUUAAAGAUAAUAAAUCCCCUCAUUCACCAUCCCCAUAUCUCUCCCCUGGAUUACUGUAAUCACCUUACACUCCCACCCACUUGUCUCUGCCAAUGACCCCUCCACUGCUUCCCCCGAUCAGCUCUUGCCACUGGCAUCUUCAGGAUUUCUCCCCCUUUGUGUCCUCUCCUCCCGCAGAAAGUCAGCUGUUGCUGCUGUAGUAGAGCUCUCUCCUCCCCUUCUAUUAUCUAGUAUAUUAGUAACGAGAUGUGCUAGUCUGUAACCAUGUUACAUGUAUAACCCCUAUGGACAUUGCUGUGCAGCUCUGACGUGCUAUAUAAGUAAGCUGCCUACUGGCUCCCAGGCCUCAGACACAUCCCCUCUUACCCCUGAUAACAUACACACAGGUACAGCACAGGGGGCAGUAAGGGUUAUACUCGCCCUCCUAACGGCUGAGAAUUGCGCUGUGUAUGCAUCAGUGAUACCCAACAUAAACCUUACAUAA